UUGCGUUAAACUGGUUGUUGUGGAUAAAGUUGCCGUGGUUGGUGAGGUGAAGUUAGCCAUGCGGAACCCUCAUUGUUUGCCGAUUAGCCGACUAUUGUAAGUGUUUGGUUAUUGUUUUCAGUACCGAAGCUCCUUGGUUACAAAGUUUUUUGGUGUACAUUGUGUUAAAUUGGUUGGAUGUCAAAGGUAUGUUUGAAAUCCCUUUAGCGCUACAACCUAUCUGCUUCCGAAGAAGAUCAUGUACAGUUCCUUCUGCAGUUAUUUCUCUAGUUCUUACAUUCUCUUAUUCAACAAAUGGGUGUCUUAAUGGAUAUGUCAUAGAAUUGUUAAGUGCACACUAUUAAAGGAUAAUGUUUUGUUUUAUAAAUGGUAACCAGUUGGUCAUACUAUAACAAUGAGAAUGCUAGAGCUGUGUUGCUUAAAAAUAUAAAUUGCAGAAGAACUCAUAACAUGGAAAGACAAUAAUCUGCGUUAACAAAUCAACUGGCGUUCUGUAAUAUAAUUUCAGGUGAAACGAAUCAGUGAAGUGGCUCAGGGUAGCAAGAUAUUGGCCGCACACACUGACAGUCCUGGUGUAAGCAUCUGCUUCUGAAUAUUUCAAUUUCAUUUGGUAGCCCUAUCGUACACAUUUGUUUUCCCCUGGUGGUUUUCUGGUAGCCAACAUAAAGCUGGUGGAAACUCUAGGCUACAAGCAGAUGAGUUGAUUCCGAUGGAUUCUACUGUGAGUGGAUAUGCCACUACUUCACUAUUCUCUAAAGCUGUUUGGGUUUCGAUUAAUCCAUUGCUUAGUACAGGAUACCAAUCCCCUUUAAAGUUAGAUGAAGUGCCUUUGCUUCCACCUGAUUUCCAAGCUGUAAGAACGUCAGAGUUUUUACAAAAAAAUUUCCCUAAGCCAGGUGAAAAUAUGAAGUAUCUUGUAUAAAUAACAUUGAUCUGAUGUUUCAGGAAAGACGUAAUAAUUAGUUUCCUUGCGAUAGUGCAGUUGUCUGAUAUAUAUGUCGGAACAACUCUAAUCCGAAGUUUCAUUGCUACUGCUUCUGCGGAUAGAACAAAACUUUGAGCCCAAUUCAAAGUAUGACAUCUUUUCUGCUCUACGUCCUUAUUUUUGACAUAUUCUGUGCUAUGUAAACUUACAAAUUGAAAAUAGCGGUAAAUAACAAUUUUAUUUUUUCUUAUGACAAGUGAAUCCGCAGCGCUGCACCACCCGCCCAGGUUAAAUUCCCACUGAUGUGUCGACUAAUUCUACAUCCAACCUUUUCGGCAAACAGGAAGCGUCUUCAUUUCUCUGCAAUAUUUACAAGAGCCAGUCAACAGUGUUCUGCAGAAGAUUUAGUACCUUGGAAGUUACCAACCACCUUAAGAACCCAGGAUACAUGGAA
rnacentral:lncRNA from 1 species